rnacentral:rRNA from 1 species
GACGAACGCUGGCGGCGUGCCUAAUACAUGCAAGUUGAGCGCUGAAGGGUGGUACUUGUACCACUUGGAUGAGCAGCGGACGGGUGAGUAACGCGUGGGGAAUCUGCCUUUGAGCGGGGGACAACAUUUGGAAACGAAUGCUAAUACCGCAUAAAAACUUUAAACACAAGUUUUAAGAUUGAAAGACGCAAUUGCAUCACUCAAAGAUGAGCCCGCGGUGUAUUAGCUAGUUGGUGAGGUAAAGGCUCACCAAGGCGAUGGUACAUAGCCGACCUGAGAGGGUGAGUGGCCCACUCUGGAACGAGACACGGCCCCAAAUCCUGACGGAGGCAGCAGUAGGGGAACUUUGGCAAAUGGGGAAAGUCUUACCGAGGAACGCCGGGGUGGUUAAGAAGGUUUUCGGGUCGUAAAACCCUGUUGAUAGAGAAGAACGUUGGUGAGAGUGAAAUGCUCAUCAAGUGACGGUAACUAACCAGAAAGGGACGGCUAACUACGUG